CUGGGCUCAAGCAAUCCUCCCGACUUGGCCUCCCAAAAUCCUGGGAUUACAUAUGUGAGCCACUAUGCCUGGCCUGUUAUUCCUGUAUUCUAACUUAUCCAUCCCUUAUGUCCUGGAGGCUGAGAAGUGCAAGAUCAAGGUGCCGGCAGUCUUGGUGUCUGGUGAAGGCCUGCUUUCUCAUAGAGGCUUCCUUCUUGCUGUGUCUUCGCAUGGUGAGAGGAACAAACAAGCUCCCUUGUGCCUUUAAUAAGGUGCUAAUCCCAGUCAUGAGGGCAGAGUCUCCCGUAAGGCUUAACCUCCUAAUGCCAUCACCUUGAGGGUUAGGAUUUUAACACAUGAACAGUGACGGAACACAACGUUCAUUCCAUAGCACCAGGGUAGUCUCCUCAUGUCAAGGUCUUUACCUGAAUCACAUGCAUGAUGUACCGUUUUCAUGUAAGGUUCUAGGAAUCUGUGGACAUCUUUGGGGGGCCAUUAUUUUGCUGAUCACAUAUUACAUAUUUUUUAAUAUUCUAGACUAGUAUGAAAACAAUGCCACUUCCAUUGCUUUAUAUACGUAUCUAUAUACACAUUGUCUAAUGCUAUAAUUAAAAAAAAGUUGUAGACACAAAUAUACCCAUUUAAAAAAAAAUUUUUUUUGCUAUUUUACUUCAUACUGCCAACUCCUUUUUCCUGAAACUGCUUCAACUCUGGAAUUCUUUUUUGCUAUUAGUUUUAUUUUAUUGAAAUAUUCAUGAAUGAGCAUACACUUGUAUAUGGAUUUAAAAUUCACAGUAAUGUUCUCAUGAGUUCAUCUGUGAAUAACAUUUUAUAGACAAAAUGUCUGCACUAAGACAAGAGAAAGAUCUAUAAUUCCUUUGUUCUAAGGUACCGCCAUUCAUUGUUAUUAUUUUAAAAUAGGAGUGUUGACUGAUGUUAAAA
rnacentral:lncRNA from 1 species